UACGUAGGUGGCGAGCGUUGUCCGGAUUUAUUGGGCGUAAAGAGCGUGUAGGCGGCCGAGCAGGUCCGUUGUGAAAACUGAAGGCACAACCUUCAGAGGUAGAUGGAAACCGUUCGGCUAGAGUCCGGAAGAGGAGAGUGGAAUUCCUGGUGUAGCGGUGAAAUGCGCAGAUAUCAGGAAGAACACCCGUGGCGAAAGCGGCUCUCUGGGACGGUACUGACGCUGAGACGCGAAAGCGUGGGGAGCGAACAGG
rnacentral:rRNA from 1 species